UAUCCUGAUCUGGUGAAAAACGCAAACGGUUUAUUUUACACGGACUGCCAGUUUUCUUUCAUACUUAGGAUAUUGAUUAGACCAUAAAAUAACAGAAAAAGCGAGAGGGACGAUCUGUCUGUUCCCAUGAUCAUACCUUCGGCAAGGAAAGGCGGUCGUUGAGAGGGAAAGACCCACCAAAGAGUUUUCUAGCGCAGAUUGGAACCUACUCAGACGCAGCUUGUAAAACGAGGAUUGUGCUGUGCAAUACACAAAGAGAUGAGGCGUAAAAGUGUUCGUGAGAACCGACGGUCCAAAUCCCCUGAUACAGAGGAACUUUCCGAGAAGCAAUCUGAAGGGAAUUCCAGAUAAAAGGAAGCUAGCAGCACUGUCCAUAUGCGUUGUUAUCAUCACCCUGGCCUGCAUCACCACUGUGUUUUACUUUUACU